GUCGGAUUUUAGAGUCCUACAGAUAUACUAGCAUAAUAAGUAAUUUGCUAUAUGAACAGAUAUAUUUCUAAAAUUUUAGCAGUUUUAAAACUCUGUUUUAAACAGGUUGGUAUUUUUGUAUUGUUCGGGGUUGUUAGAGAAUUGGAUGUUCUACGGGGUCGCCGGUCCCUCGCCUCUCGUCCGGUGCCUUGGUUACUAAAGGGUGUGUUGCAUGGUUUGUUUGGGGUUAACGCCUGUCAUUAGGGAUUGUUUUGUUUUAAGUGUUCUAAUUUCCUGUGUGUGUCUAUCCAAAUUAGUGAACUGGAGCCGUCUUUCACUUGCCUAUUGAUGACGACGUUUUUUUUGUUCCGUGUUGAAUGCAUCAUCGUGACUUUCAGAUGAUAAACAGCAAUAAACUCGAUGACAAAGAUGAAGGAAUAGCAACAGAGACUUCGUAUUAAUAUGAAACAAAAAAUCACAAAAAUACUGAACUCCGAGGAAAAAUCAAUCGUAAAGUCCCUUAUUAAAAUGUAAAAUCAAAUGACAAGACACAUCAAACGAAAGGACAACAACUG
rnacentral:lncRNA from 1 species